rnacentral:rRNA from 1 species
AGUGAACGCUGGCGGUAGGCCUAACACAUGCAAGUCGAACGGCAGCACAGUAAGAGCUUGCUCUUACGGGUGGCGAGUGGCGGACGGGUGAGGAAUACAUCGGAAUCUACUUUUUCGUGGGGGAUAACGUAGGGAAACUUACGCUAAUACCGCAUACGACCUACGGGUGAAAGCAGGGGAUCUUCGGACCUUGCGCGAUUGAAUGAGCCGAUGUCGGAUUAGCUAGUUGGCGGGGUAAAGGCCCACCAAGGCGACGAUCCGUAGCUGGUCUGAGAGGAUGAACAGCCACACUGGAACUGAGACACGGUCCAGACUCCUACGGGGGGCAGCAGUGGGGAAUAUUGGACAAUGGGCGCAAGCCUGAUCCAGCCAUACCGCGUGGGUGAAGAAGGCCUUCGGGUUGUAAAGCCCUUUUGUUGGGAAAGAAAAGCAGCAGGUUAAUACCCCGCUGUUCUGACGGUACCCAAAGAAUAAGCACCGGCUAACUUCGUG